GAAAUGCGAUAAGUAAUGUGAAUUGCAGAAUUCAGUGAAUCAUCGAAUCUUUGAACGCACACUGCGCCCGCCAGUAUUCUGGCGGGCAUGCCUGUUCGAGCGUCAUUACAACCCUCAGGCCCCCGGGCCUGGCGUUGGGGAUCGGCGGAAGCCCCCUGCGGGCACAACGCCGUCCCCCAAAUACAGUGGCGGUCCCGCCGCAGCUUCCAUUGCGUAGUAGCUAACACCUCGCAACUGGAGAGCGGCGCGGCCACGCCGUAAAACACCCAACUUCUGAAUGUUGACCUCGAAUCAGGUAGGAAUACCCGCUGAACUUAAGC
rnacentral:misc_RNA from 1 species